UACGGGGGGGGGCAAGCGUUGUUCGGAAUUACUGGGCGUAAAGGGCUCGUAGGCGGCCAACUAAGUCAGACGUGAAAUCCCUCGGCUUAACCGGGGAACUGCGUCUGAUACUGGAUGGCUUGAGGUUGGGAGAGGGAUGCGGAAUCCCAGGUGUAGCGGUGAAAUGCGUAGAUAUCUGGAGGAACACCGGUGGCGAAGGCGGCAUCCUGGACCGAGAUUGACGCUGAGGCGCGAAAGCCAGGGGAGCAAACGGGG
rnacentral:rRNA from 1 species